rfam:Triticum aestivum genome assembly, contig: Triticum_aestivum_CS42_TGACv1_scaffold_031518_1BL
GUGCAAGUAUGAACCAAUUUGAACUAUGAAACUGCGAAUGGCUCAUUAAAUCAGUUAUAGUUUGUUUGAUGGUACGUGCUACUCGGAUAACCGUAGUAAUUCUAGAGAUAAUACGUGCAACAAACCAUGACUUCUAGGAGGGGUGCAUUUAUUAGAUAAAAGGCUGACACGGGCUCUGCUUGCUAUUCCGAUGAUUCAUGAUAAGCCGAUGCAGCAAAAAAAAUCAGGGACCCGAACUCUGGAGCACCUAGUUGCUCCGACGCCCAGUUCCUUUGUG